UACGUAGGUGGCAAGCGUUGUCCGGAUUUACUGGGCGUAAAGAGCGCGCAGGCGGUCGUUCAAGUCGCGUGUGAAAGCCCCCGGCUCAACCGGGGAGAGUGGUUGGAAACUGGCGCUCUUGAGGGCGAUAGAGGAGGGUGGAAUUCCUGGUGUAGCGGUGAAAUGCGUAGAUAUCUGGAGGAACACCGGUGGCGAAGGCGGCAUCCUGGACCGAUGAUUGACGCUGAUGCGCGAAGCCAGGGAGCAAACGGG
rnacentral:rRNA from 1 species